CCUACGGGAGGCAGCAGUGGGGAAUAUUGCGCAAUGGGCGAAAGCCUGACGCAGCGACGCCGCGUGAGGGAUGAAGGUCUUCGGAUCGUAAACCUCUGUCAGCAGGGAAGAACGGUCACUGUGCUAAUCAGCAGUGAAUUGACGGUACCUGCAAAGGAAGCACCGGCUAACUCCGUGCCAGCAGCCGCGGUAAUACGGAGGGUGCGAGCGUUAAUCGGAAUUACUGGGCGUAAAGCGCUCGUAGGCGGUAUGUCAAGUCAAGGGUGAAAUCCCCGCGCUCAACGUGGGAACUGCCUUUGAAACUGGCAAACUGGAGUGUGUGAGAGGAGAGUGGAAUUCCAGGUGUAGGGGUGAAAUGCGUAGAUAUCUGGAGGAACAUCAGUGGCGAAGGCGACUAUCUGGCACAUAACUGACGCUGAGGAGCGAAAGCGUGGGUAGCAAACAGGAUUAGAUACCCGGGUAGUC
rnacentral:rRNA from 1 species